rnacentral:lncRNA from 1 species
GCUGAUCGUGAGCUAAUGCAAAAUCAGAAGACAGCAUCAGCUUAAGAAUAAAAGCAGAAACAAGGUUUGGAAUGUCACUACUUCUCCGUGAGCGGAAUUCCAUAACCCACCAGCUCCCAGGAGAUGGUUUGAAUUCCACUGAAGAAGUGAAUUUUACCAGGCGCUGGGGAUAAAGCCAAAAAGAAGCAUUAGAAAUACGUACGUAAAAAAUGGGAGAGAAGAUGUUGCUCCUAACUUGAUAAUGCACAGAUGCUAGCACUGCUGUGUAAAAUUCAUGCAAGUCUUCCUUGGCAACUGCAGUGAAAUGAAACCUAAAGUGACAGCCUGAGACAAAGAGGAAAGCCAAAGCACGCUGUGCUGUGCAGGGCCUGGCUGAGUGGGUGACGUCGCUCAGAGAGCCACCAUUCGAGUGUCACAGCUGUCACCAUCCAUUCCCUGCACAUCAAAUCCAUUCUGCUUCUGUCUGGGGCAGGAGCUUGUUACCUCAGAAGCUGACGAGAACCAGAGAUUUUUUUUCAUAUUUCCUCUUUGCCUCAACUACGUGCUGUCAGUUAGGAAAUCCACAGCUCAGUAUUGACAUGUGUGAUUCCCAGUUUGACUUCUGCGCUGGAGUCCAACUGGAACUGUGCACCAGUGAAGGUCUGCUUCCCAUAAAGGGCCUCUCUGAAAUGGGGCACUCAAGAGACAAAGGCCUGUUCAUAUAUAAAAGGGGGAAGAGAAUACUGGAACAAAGAGGAAUUUCUACUAUUUCCUGCUUUGGUAUAUUCACAAAAAUCAGACCUUUUUAGUGAAUGAAUGCCAGUAACAGAUUAUAUAUCCUUAUGUUUAUUAAUUACCUUUCCUUUCUCAUUCAAGCUUUGAUAGCUGCUAUUCUCAAAUAGGUAACAGAUAAACAUAAUGAACUCUUCUGGAUGAAGGCUGAAAGUCACAGAGCUAUGAAAUAAUGCAAUUGAAAAUGGAGGAAGAGUGGUCCCAGUGCUGUCAUACCAGCAGUGAAUGCACAUCAGACAAUGCAAAAUGCUGUACGCUCAACAGAGACAUGGUCCAUAAUACAAGAGCAUAGGAAUUUCAUUUCCAUGCAGAGCUCAAUACAAUUAAAAAAGAAAAAAAAAGAAAAGAAAGAAAAAAGAAAGAAAAAAAAGAGCGGGAUUAUAUGAGUGGUAAUUUGGUGUUAUGGAUAUAUGGAUGAGGUAUUUUCUUAGAAGCCUUAAAAUGAUGAUGAUUGCAGUUUGGUCCAUGACCCGGGGGGGGACUUCCUGCUUCUGCUGGUGAGUUUGCUUGUUUGUUUGUUAUUGCGCACAUUGCUCUAGAGAAGUAGGACUUAGCAAGAAAAAUUAACCUAUUUUACUUUAUUUUUUACUUCUAUAGCGUUGCUAUUGCAAUUCCAUAGAGUUCCAUUAUUUUCUCAUGCAGAAGCACAUUAUAACUUUUAGUUUUCAUUGUUUCAGAUGAAUGUUUAUAUUUUAAAAAUGAUAAUAAUUAUGUUUUUCACUAAAGAAAGUUGUGGGACUUCUCAUUACAACCUCUAUAAAAUGUGAAGAUUUACUCUUCAGCAUGGAGAGAGAGAGAGAGGGGCAUCACAUGCCUCUCCUGCCUUCGUUCAGGGGAAAAGAAAACUUCAUUUUUUAUAUUUUAGGAUAGUCUAUUUUAAGAACUAGUCCAUAGAAGUCCAUGGAGUUUAAUGUCAUUUCUUCAACUGCAAUGCAAAGAGAAACUGAAACAUGAAAAAAAGCACGUGCUGAGAAAUAAUAUUCUGGCAGUGGAGUUCAUUUUCAACAAAAAACAAAUAAUACUGGUCCCCUCACAAAGACUUGUUAAAUAUUAACUAGCACCCAGAAGACAUAAGCAAUGACUCAGAUACACAGGAAAAAGCCCCCAAGGUUCCUGUUUUACUGGAGCAUUCCAGAACCUGCUGAAGUGAACCUCAGGAAGUCAGGCCAUGUCUGAAGGGCAGAGCAGCACAGUGGCCCAAUGUCCCCCAUGGCCAUCUUCUCCCUGUCUCCUCUUGCAAGUUUGGAGUGAACAACAGAAAGCAGUCGCUCCUCAGAGUGCUGUUUUUUCAGGGACUGACUGCAAGAUUUCAAGUUGUUGAUCAUACGGACUUGAUUGUGGAUGUGAGUUGCACCUUCCUGACUACAAACACUGAGCCAGGUUAAUGCCUGUACCUCUGGAGCCUUAGGAGCACAAAAAGUUCUGCUCUCCUGGAAGGGACUUCAAAGAAGAAAGGAAAAAAAACCAUCGGUUCAACAAUUUACAUAUUCCUCUCACGAAAGAAAAAUGGGGAGAAACAGUACAUAUGCUUACUACCCAGCUUCCUUCCUUGUGAGGAACCUCCUCUGACUGCCAUGACCUUUCUAAGGUAAUCAAGAGUGGCUUCACAAUGACACUGACCAGCUUCCUCAGUGCUCGUGGGGAUCUCAUCGGGUCACAUGGACUUGUGCACGCACAAUUUCUUUAAAUCUUCCCUGACAUGAUCCUCUUCUGUACAGGGUAAGUCUUCAUUACGCCACAUGUUCCCACUGGCUCCAGUCUUACCUGUUGGAAUCAUAUUUCUCCAGGUUGCAUCACAGACCUACCUUCUUGGGUCAGAGCUUGCAAAGGGCAGUUCAGCUUACUGAAAAUAUGGUGGAUAAUGAAGUAGUAAAAUAUUUUUACAGUCCAAAAAUAGUACCAAGCCCAAGAUUAUGAAAAAGAACUCACUUUCACCUCCAGUUUUAAGGUGUAGCUUUUUACUCAGAAUUUAUUUAUUUAAAAUAAGACCCAGUAGGUUUAUUUUAAAUCAUGUUGCAUUGCUGUAUUUGAUUUUUUUUAGAUUGCAAAAAUUACUACAAAUGUUGGCAAGCUUAUAGAAAAUAGUUGUAAGUAUAAAUAUAUCAAAAGUUGUGAAAAAGAAACUGAGUGACUUUACUACUAGAAAACCAACUAGUUAUUUAGCUAGUUGAUUUGUAGAUGCAGUCACAUACCUAGACCCUCCUUGCAUUUGCUCCCAUGGUUGUUCCUCCUUUAAAUUUAAAGAUUAAUGGUUGUUCUCAUUUUGGCUGAGACAGAGUUUAUUUUCUUCCUAGUAGCUGGUAUGGAACUGUGGUUUGUAUUUAAGAUGAAAAUACUGUUAAUAACACACUAAUGUUUUAGUUGUUGCUGAGCAGUGCUGACAUUAAACCAAGGGCUUUUCUGCUUCUCAUGCUGCCCUGCCAGCAAGGAGGCUGGGGUGCACAAGCAGCUGGGAGGGAAGAGAACCAGAAUAGUGACACAAACUGGCUGAAAGGAUAUUCCAUAAUAUAUCAUGUCUUGCUCAACCAUAAAACUGGGCAGAGUUUGCUGGGCGGCCUGCAAUUGCAUUGUUGUCCUGUCCAAAAGCAGGACACCAGUACGAAGUAUAGGAAGUAAAAAGAGAAUUAGAUGCCAUGUUCUCUCUAGUGCUGCAUGUAUAAUAACUGCUGAAGUCAGUGAGAAGUAAGGAGCUUGUUUUUUUUUCAGGAUCAAGUCCUGUCUGCCACAAUCUGAUCUUUCUUAAUCAUCCUUAUCACUCAUGGCUGCAAUAUUCUUUUAUCCUAUAUGAACUUCAGACUUUCAAAACAAACUCAAUGAGGCACAGAAAUGAACUAUGCUAUUCACCAAGUAAAAAGAUGGGUUGGAGAGAAGGAAUAUUCUUGUCUGCUCAUUUGGGAUCUAUGCCAGUAGUUUCAAGUUUCUGAAUGUUAUCAAUGACUUUUCUCCAAAGUUAGUUUUGCAAGCUGAUACAGUACUUCAAUAUUUCUAUUUUGCUUAAGUGAAAAUGAAAGAAAAUAAUGUAUUUAAACCUUGGUCACCAUGGAACUUGAAAAAGUGUUGUAAAUGUGUACUUCUAUAUGUGUUUCUCACUAAAAUUAAAGCCACAGACCCUUUAGUAGCAUUCCAUUUCUUUUCUUUUUUUUUUCUUUAUCAAAACAUUUUGUAUUUUGAGAGAGGAUACGGGAUAUGCAUAUCUUCCUUGCAUAACCUUUAAUGAGCUUUUAAACCAGCAGGGCUCUUUCAGAUACUGGCAAGCAAAAGCAGAAUUUGAGACCUUUCUACAGUUUUGAUUGAGAAGAUGAUGUUAUUUGUUCAUGGCUCCAUCAGAGCAAAAAUGGAAAAAGAAACCCAUACAUUUUAAGGAAAAAUAAACUGUCUGGGGAGGAGGAAGAAGUUAUAGUGUCUUGAACUAAAGGUUGAACAGAGCCUGGGAGCAGGACGCUCUCACCAUAUGCAGUAACUGUCUGUUCAGAUCUGGAAAAGACAAGUCCUGUACAUUCUUUGUGGGGAACUAGACAUAGGUGCUCGAUUCACUGAUUAUUAGCAGAGGCUAUUGAACAUACUUCUGACAGUGGCAACUUUAGAUCACUGCAAAGCAAGUGCAAAAAAUGUGUAUAUUAUUUUCAACUAAGUAAGGAAAAAUGACAAAUGAAUUUGUUUCUGUAAGAGAGUCUGUGAAAUUCCAAGAUACUCUUGCAUAUGAAAUCCACUUAAAUAAAGAGAAGAUACAUUUGAAGUAAAUGAUAAAGAGUGGGUUUUGUCCCUUUCCUUAGAUUUGUAGACCUGGUCAAACCCAAAUAAUGUCACACAUUUCUUUGUCUAACUUGGGUAAAGGUAUAUGAUUUGUACAUCCUGUAACCUAUACAGAGGGAAAAAAUAGAAAGAUGAUUCUUAAUAAUUCUGAUUCAUUCAAACUACCAUGUCAGAUCCUUAAGCAGUUGCUAGUGUGGACAGGGUCCAAAACAAGGAAUUCUGCAAAGUUCUCAUGAGUACCUAAAAUGGGGGAAAGGCAUUAACAGAUGGAGGAAAUGAGUCUGGAAUGAGUCUGGGAUAAAAGGAAGAGAAGAAAAAUAUGAUGGAAAUGUUAAAAGAAAGGGAAAAAAUAUGAUGGAAAAUUAUUUUGUUUAAAAGCUGGCAUUUGGUAUUUUCAAAGGGCAAAAUGUAUUUUUAUUUAUGACAAAUGAAUGUAAAAAUGUGCAUGCCUCAUGGCCUAGAGGACAAAACAGUGGGAUCAAUGCUCUUUUUGUACUCUAUGAAGCUUGAGAUUAAAGUCCCCACUGAUAAACUGAACAUUCUUUAAAAGUGACCAGAAGCAAACAGUGUCUGUUUGCUGCUACUUUAUUAGAAAGAUACCACUGAGAAUAGCUAAGAAUACUAUUUGAUCUUAAACAGGUUGACCAAAUUAUUACAGUUGGCUCCAGUACAUGAGAUGCUUUCUGCAAAUUAUUGUUUCUGGUUAUAAACCUUUAUAAUAUCUCUGAAUGAAUUAUGUAUGUAUUUCAUGUUUUCUUUUCUUUUAUCAGCCUUGAUGUUCUCAUUUCAAGUUUCACCCUAGCCUCCUAAUAAUGCAAUAUUGAGGCCAUUCAGACACUAAUUAUGCCUCCAUGGCUUUCUUGAAAUGACUAAAUCAGCAUCAGUUCUAUAAUUAUCAUUAGCAAGUUUGUAUCCGUGCCUCACAUCACA